rnacentral:rRNA from 1 species
CGUAGGGUCCAAGCGUUAUCCGGAAUCACUGGGCGUAAAGCGUGCGUAGGUGGCGCAUUAAGUGAGAUGUUAAAUCGUGUGGCUCAACCAUAUCGAUGCAUCUCAUACUGGUGUGCUAGAGGACGGCAGAGGCAAGUGGAAUUAGCAGUGUAGCAGUGAAAUGCGUAGAUAUUGCUAGGAACACCAAUGGCGAAGGCAGCUUGCUGGGCCACUCCUGACACUGAGGUACGAAAGCGUGGGGAGCGAACAGGAUUAGAUACCCUGGUAGUCCACGCCGUAAACGAUGCAUACUAGUCGUAUGGGGUAUCGACCCCCUGUGCGACGCAGCUAACGCGUUAAGUAUGCCGCCUGGGAAGUACGGCCGCAAGGCUAA